GCCUGCUUAGCUCAAUCGGUAGAGCGUGAGACUCUUAGUGACUGUCCUUUGAUACUAGCAAUGUCAAAUCUCCAGGCUGCGGAUUCGGUAAAUCUGCACCAGGCC